rnacentral:rRNA from 1 species
UAAUGCUUGGGAAUCUGGCUUAUGGAGGGGGAUAACUACGGGAAACUGUAGCUAAUACCGCGUAGUAUCGAGAGAUUAAAGUGUGGGACCUUCGGGCCACAUGCCAUAGGAUGAGCCCAAGUGGGAUUAGGUAGUUGGUGAGGUAAAGGCUCACCAAGCCGACGAUCUCUAGCUGGUCUGAGAGGAUGACCAGCCACACUGGGACUGAGACACGGCCCAG